rnacentral:rRNA from 1 species
AGCAGUCGCCGCGGUAAAACGAAGGGUGCAAGCGUUAAUCGGAAUUACUGGGCGUAAAGCGUGCGUAGGCGGUGAGUUAAGUCUGUUGUGAAAGCCCCGGGCUCAACCUGGGAAUGGCAAUGGAUACUGGCGAGCUAGAGUGUGUCAGAGGAUGGUGGAAUUCCCGGUGUAGCGGUGAAAUGCGUAGAGAUCGGGAGGAACAUCAGUGGCGAAGGCGGCCAUCUGGGACAACACUGACGCUGAGGCACGAAAGCGUGGGGAGCAAACAGGAUUAGAUACCCCGGUAGUCCCUGUCUCUUAUAC